rnacentral:tRNA from 1 species
GCCCGGUAAGCUCAGUCGGGAGAGCACUCGCCUUGUAAGCGAAUUGUCAUGGGUUCGAGUCCCGUACUGGCCG